rnacentral:rRNA from 1 species
GACGAACGCUGGCGGCGUGCCUAAUACAUGCAAGUUGAGCGCUGAAGGUUGGUACUUGUACCAACUGGAUGAGCAGCGAACGGGUGAGUAACGCGUGGGGAAUCUGCCUUUGAGCGGGGGACAACAUUUGGAAACGAAUGCUAAUACCGCAUAAAAACUUUAAACACAAGUUUUAAGUUUGAAAGAUGCAAUUGCAUCACUCAAAGAUGAUCCCGCGUUGUAUUAGCUAGUUGGUGAGGUAAAGGCUCACCAAGGCGAUGAUACAUAGCCGACCUGAGAGGGUGAUCGGCCACAUUGGGACUGAGACACGGCCCAAACGCCUACGGGAGGCAGCAGUAGGGAAUCUUCGGCAAUGGACGAAAGUCUGACCGAGCAACGCCGCGUGAGUGAAGAAGGGUUUCGGAUCAUAAAACUCUGUUGGUAGAGAAGAACGUUGGUGAGAGUGGAAAGCUCAUCAAGUGACGGUAACUACCCAGAAAGGGACGGCUAACUACGUG